UGCGGUAUAGUGAAACGGAUAUAUAGAUCACGCUAGGCUCAUAUCCUGGAAAUUGGGGGUUCGACUCCCUCUACCGCAACCA
rnacentral:tRNA from 1 species